GAUGAACGCUGGCGGCGUGCCUAAUACAUGCAAGUCGAGCGAACGGACGAGAAGCUUGCUUCUCUGAUUUUAGCGGCGGACGGGUGAGUAACACGUGGAUAACCUACCUAUAAGACUGGGAUAACUUCGGGAAACCGGAGCUAAUACCGGAUGAUAUUUUGAACCGCAUGGUUCAAAAGUUAAAGACGGUCUUGCUGUCACUGAUAGAUGGAUCCGCGCUGCAUUAGCUAGUUGGUAAGGUAACGGCUUACCAAGGCAACGAUGCAUAGCCGACCUGAGAGGGUGAUCGGCCACACUGGAACGGGGACACGUUCCAGACUCUUACGGGAGGCAGCAUGAGGGAAUCUGCCGAAAUGGGCGAAGGCUGAAGGGAGCAACGCGGCGUGAGUGAUGAAGGUCUUCGGUUGGUAAAUCUCUGUUAUGGGGGAAGAGGAUAUGUGUAAGUAACGGUGCACAUCUGACCGUAACCGAAUCAGAAGGCCCCGCCUAACUACGU
rnacentral:rRNA from 1 species